rnacentral:lncRNA from 1 species
CCACGUGGAGUACGGUGCUGACAACAUUAGGGUUAUGGGUUUGAUUCCCAUGUGGAGUACGGUGCUGACAACAUUAGGGUUAUGGGUUUGAUUCCACGUGGAGUAUGGUGCUGACAACAUUAGGGUUAUGGGUUUGAUUCCCACGUGGAGCACGGUGCUGAAAACAUAGGGUUAUGGGUUUGAUUCCCACGUGAGCACGGUGCUGACAACAUUAGGGUUAUGGUUUUUGAGUCCCACGUGGAGCACGGUGCUGACAACAUCAGGGUUAUGGGUUUGAUUCCCACGUGGAGCAGUGCUGACAACAUCAGGUUAUGGUUUUGAGUCCCACGUGGAGCACGGUGCUGACAUCAGGGUUAUGGGUUUGAUUCCCACGUGGAGCACGGUGCUGACAACAUCAGGGUUAUGGUUUUGAUUCCCACGUGGAGCACACAUACAAUACUACAACAAAGAACUAUGAGCUGCUUAGAAUUAAAGCAUAUUACAGUAUUACUACUAUCUGCAGAGGAGCUAUAAUACUUACAGCCAGAGGGGGCACUGUAGAGAGGAGCUAUAAUACUCACAGCCAGAGGGGGCGCUGUAGAGGAGCUAUAAUACUCACAUUCAGAUUGGGUGCUGUAGAGAGGAGCUAUAGUACUCACAUCCAGAGGGGGCGCUGUAGAGAGGAGCUAUAAUACUCACAGCCAGAGGGGGAGCUGUAGAGGAGUUUCUGGGUAAGGAGGUUUAUCAACACCUGAGGCUGAAGAAGAGGCACAGACCAGGCAAUGAGAACAGGGACUGUCCUGUUCCAACACUUGUAAAGUAUCUUCUCUCACCAUCAUGGAAUUGGUCCUGCUGCUCCAAAAGCAUGUCAAUCUCUUUGCCUGUGGCUUAAGGAAGCCCAGCUUCUUCAAACUGAUGGUGAGGGAGAUGGAGAGGAAGUUAAUAAUGAACGACUGAAAGCUCAGGAAAGAUCCUUUUGGUUUCACACAGUUGGCUUGGUAUGUGUUCACGUGGUUGAAUGUCUCUUAUUAGGCAAAGUGAGUAACAUUCUCAGUUAGUCUAAUCCCAAAUGUGGUUUCUUUAGAAAUAUAGCCUUUCUAGGUUUAAACAAAUUAGUGAGGUCACCUCUACAGCACUGAUGAUAAGAUUCUCCUUCUCUUUGUAGGUAAUGGCAUCAGGAGAGGAUUUGAAGCCUACGAGAGAGAGAGAGAGAGAGAGGGAAACAGAGAGGUGAUUCAAAGAGGCUAAAGUUCAAAGUGUGUCGUGAAAGAAGCCUUUUAGACCUAGACUUGGCGCUCCAGUGCUGCUUUCCGUGUGGUAGCAGAGAGACCAGUCUAUGACUAGGGUGACUGGAGUCUUUGGCAUUUUUUAGGGCCUUCCUCUGGCACCGCCUGGUAUAGAGGUCCUGGAUGGCAGGAAGCUUGACCCCAGUGAUGUACUGGGCCGUACGCAUUACCCUCUGUAGCACCUUGCGGUCGGAGGCCGAGCAAUUGCCAUACCAGGGGGAUAGUUUGAAUUGGGGAUAGUUUAACCAAAAUAUGCCACAAGACCUAGAAUUGCCUUAUGUGUCUCCCACAAAAAAAGGUUCACUGUUAUUAGCUAACUUU